CCUCCUCCUCCUCCUCCACCUCCAUUCCCAAGCGAUGGCGCCCACGGCCGCGGUUUUCUCCCCCAGCCACCAUGGCUGCAGAUCCACCCACGGCCGAUCGUCUAAGUUGCAAGCAUGGAUGGAUGGAUCCAGGAAGGUAUCCUUCCUCCCUAGGUGGAGCUAGCUGCAGAUCCCGUUCGGCCCUCUAGAGUCGGCCAUCUCCGCCUCCUCCUCGCCGCCGCCGCCACCGAGGAUCACGUCUUCACCAAGCGCGAGCUCCGCCCCAUCUGACCGACCGCAAAGGGGUGAGUUUUCUUCAUCCCGAACCCUCCCGAUUUGCUUACUGCACUCUUGCCAUUCCAAUGGAGACCAACCUCCUCUGGAUGACCCCCAACUCUGCAUCUCUCUCCCAAUUACCCUCACCCCGCCAGUUUGUUGCGGGUUGUCCAUUGUAAAUUUUCAAGGAGAUUCAAAUGUUCCUCUUCUGGCCGAUUUAAGAUACUACUUGGUCCAAUUUUGCCACAAAAAAUAAUGCUAUCUUGUCAUAGAUUACACGUAUAUGCUUAUGAGAAUUUUCAUGUUUGUUAGAUUAAAAAAACUAUAUUUUCUCCUUUUAGCCAGUGGUUAAUUUAGCAGAGCGUUAGCAUAGUAUUGGUCUGAUCAGCGGGAUGAUGAUCACGAAGUCCUGUUGAUAAUCAUCAUGUUGUGAUUUUUCAGUGUCCAAUAGAACUUGUAGUGUCCUCAAAUCAGCAAAGAUAGUAGCAGUUUCUAGUAGACCUUUUAUACGGUGAUAUUGGUUAACAUAUUGAUUUGUUAAUAUUUUUUAAGUAUAAAAGCUAAUUGUAAUCUGCACAAGAGCCAAACCUGCAGAAGGUUAGAGUGCAUGCAGCAGUUUCAGAACCUAGGGAAACUUGCCUGACUGGUCUCUUUAAUAUUUAGUGAGUCUGUCCAUGCACUUUUAGUUCUACUCACCACUAAAGAUAUCUACAACUUACAUGUUGAACGCAUAGUUUAAUUCGAACAGUAACAUGGUCUAAGUCCGCAUACAAGGUUACUGUACACAGAAUCAUAUAAAGAUUAAUUUUUGGACUGUGAAACUAAAUUGGACUGCUACUUUUAAACCGUACAUCAAAAUAGUGCAAAUAGAUAGUCUGUAGAAAGCAUGGGACGUAUCUCUCCUUUUUUUGCGAUUGAUCUCCACAUUAUGUUUGGAGUCCAAGUCAAAAUUAUGCAGUUUUUGAUAGAGGAUUUGGAAAGACCGAAUCUGUUUAGUAGGUGGAUUACCCAAAAUAGUUCACUUCAUCCAACCCAACCUCACAUCACUGUGGAAAGUUUGUAGCACUUAUUUUAUAUGCAGAGCACUUGUGAACUAGGAUUUUGACCAAAAGAUUUCGAGUGUUUUGUGUGAGCUUGCAUUGCAGGGAUACUUGAAGCUAGGGCAAUCCAAGUAAGAUAGCUUCAUCCUCAGACAACAGGUUUAUGUUAUCUUAUCAUGGAGUCAUUUUUAAGUUUGUGCCCAACGCCUUCAUCCUUAGAAUGGCCACCCAGAUGGCAAGCCACCAUACUCAGGCGACUGUCGCGCUAGCUGGGUGCUCCAACUUUUGAUGCUGGCGAAGCUUUUGGAAUGAUGGCUGCAUCAUUUGUUAGUCUCCGUUGGAAGCUUAAUUAAACUGAGCUUCUCUGAAGGUUCAGAUGUGUGGCAAAGGAUUUCAAUUUUCCUGUUUACACAAAGGAAACUUGAAGAAGGUUCAGACUUCUCAUGCUCGGUGUUGUGCUCUCAAGGUUACAUAGACAAAAAAGCCUCCUAUUUACACAACGGCAACCCGACGAAGGAUGACGGGGUGGGGCGGGAGGCGGGGAAAGCCAUCCAUGGCGAUCCUGGCGGCGUUGCUAAUGGCGUCAGUGGCACUGCCGCUCCUCAUGGUGCCCGACAUGCUCUCUAUGCCAUGCUCUGACGGCAUGGAUCGCGGCGCCGCCCUGUCGCUCCCACGCCCGCGCUUCAGCAGAUCCGCGAGGCUGGAGAAGAGCAGGGAGAAAGGGGAGUCGUGUAUGGAGGUUCUGUACUUUUGUUGUAUCAACAUCUUCUCCGUUUGUCCUACAUGGCCGAGCGAGAUCGAAGCUAGCCGCCGGUAAUGUUCUUCUCCCGUGCAAGUUCUGCACUGCACUAAAGCAUCCAACACAUGGAACGGAGGGAGUAGGUGGUACAUCAACCAAGUAUGUUUCAAGGUGAGACAUCCAUCAAGUUUGUUUGGAGGCACAGGUCAAGCAUCAGAACAGUAUGUUGUACUAUUUGGUUUCAUCGGUCAAUAUGGAAAUUCAACUAGCAAGGCACUGGAACAUAGAACAACUUCAGAUGUACCUCUACCCCAUCUAGAUGACCUACAUUACCGAGGGAUUCCAGAUAUAUGUAAAGCUAUACAUGGCAAAGAUCAUGCGUACUCACUAUGACAUUGUAUAUACAUAAUGAUUAUUUUUGUCUGGUAUGGCGCUGUAAAUAAAUGAACCCGAGGCGAGUUUGAUUGUUUCGCUGGUUUUUGCAAGCAUAUUUCUAAGGCGC
rnacentral:rRNA from 1 species